AGUUUUCGGCGGACACAACAUCUUUUGUUUGUAUGUGGUGCUGAGGAUCGAACCCGGGCCGCACGCAUGCCGGUCGAGCGCGCUACCGCUUGAGCCACAUCCCCAGCCCCCCCAGGAAUUUCUUUAUGGCCAGCUCCAAGACAGAAAGGUGGUGGAAGAUCAGAGUUUCUGUGACCUGCCUUAGGGAAGAGUAAUUCUAGUUUCUGUGGUCCCUCGAGGAGAGAGUUAGGAUCCAGCAACCAGGAUUAAGAUCCAAAAUAUAUAGAGGCCCUAAUAUCACAACCGUAUAUCAGGGGAUAUUAGUCAGCCAUAAAAAGGAAUGAGGCACUGAUUCAUGCUAUCCCAUAGGUGACCCUUGAACAUUAUGCUAAGUGAGAGAGGCCAGAUGCACAGGCCAUAUGUAUAUAAAAUGACCAGGAAGGUAUACCUAUAGAGACAGAAAGCAGACUGGUACUUUCCAGGGGCUGAGGGGAAAGGGUCAAUGCGAAGUGACUACUUAAUGGGUAUGGGGUUUCCUUACGGGAUGGUUGGAAGUGUUUUGGAACUAAGAUGAGGUAAUGGUUGCAGAACGCUGUGAAUGUACUCAAGGUCACCACGUUGUACCCUUCAAAAUGGUCAAUUGCAUGUUUUGUGAAUUUCACCCCAGCCAAAUACAUACAUGGACACAUACCGUGAUUGUUACU
rnacentral:lncRNA from 1 species